GACAACAUGCCAGAGUGGUUAAUGGGUUAGACUUGAAUUCGUUCAUGUCAUCUAAUGGCUUCGGCCGCGUAGGUUCGAACCCUACUGUUGUCG